rnacentral:rRNA from 1 species
CGAGGGGAGUGAAAAAGAACCUGAAACCGUGUACGUACAAGCAGUGGGAGCACCUUUAUGGUGUGACUGCGUACCUUUUGUAUAAUGGGUCAGCGACUUAUAUUCUGUAGCAAGGUUAACCGAAUAGGGGAGCCGCAGGGAAACCGAGUCUUAACUGGGCGUCUUAGUUGCAGGGUAUAGACCCGAAACCCGGUGAUCUAGCCAUGGGCAGGUUGAAGGUUGGGUAACACUAACUGGAGGACCGAACCGACUAAUGUUGAAAAAUUAGCGGAUGACUUGUGGCUGGGGGUGAAAGGCCAAUCAAACCGGGAGAUAGCUGGUUCUCCCCGAAAGCUAUUUAGGUAGCGCCUCGUGAAUUCAUCUCCGGGGGUAGAGCACUGUUUCGGCUAGGGGGUCAUCCCGACUUACCAACCCGAUGCAAACUGCGAAUACCGGAGAAUGUUAUCACGGGAGACACACGGCGGGUGCUAACGUUCGUCGUGAAGAGGGAAACAACCCAGACCGCCGGCUAAGGUCCCAAAGUCAUAAUUAAGUGGGAAACGAAGUGGGAAGGCUCAGACAGCCAGGAUGUUGGCUUAGAAGCAGCCAUCAUUUAAAGAAAGCGUAAUAGCUCACUGGUCGAGUCGGCCUGCGCGGAAGAUGUAACGGGGCUAAAUUAUGCACCGAAGCCGCGGCAGCGAUAUGUAAAUAUUGUUGGGUAGGGGAGCGUUCUGUAAGCCUGUGAAGGUGACCUGUGAGGGUUGCUGGAGGUAUCAGAAGUGCGAAUGCUGACAUAAGUAACGAUAAUGCGGGUGAAAAACCCGCACGCCGGAAGACCAAGGGUUCCUGUCCAACGUUAAUCGGGGCAGGGUGAGUCGACCCCUAAGGCGAGGCUGAAAAGCGUAGUCGAUGGGCAACGGGUUAAUAUUCCCGUACUGGUGGUAACUGCGAAGGGGGGACGGAGAAAGCUAAAUCAUCCGGGCGACGGUUGUCCCGGUUUAAGCGUGCAGGUGGACUGACCAGGCAAAUCCGGUCGGUUGUUAACACUGAGGCGUGACGACGAGCCACUACGGUGGUGAAGUGAUUGAUGCUCUGCUUCCGGGAAAAGCCUCUAAGCUCCAGGUUACCAUUAAUCGUACCCCAAACCGACACAGGUGGUCAGGUAGAGAAUACUCAGGCGCUUGAGAGAACUCGGGUGAAGGAACUAGGCAAAAUGGUGCCGUAACU